rnacentral:pre_miRNA from 1 species
UAUAUACUUCCUCCAUCCCAAAAUUCUUGUGUUAGAUUUGUGUAGAUAUGAAUGUAUCUAGUCACAUUUUAGUAUUUAGAUACAUACAUUUAUAGACAGACCUAAGACAAGAAUUUUGGGACGGAGGGAGUACUUA